UUUUUUUUGAUAAAAGAUAUACUAAAACUGGAAUGAUGCAGAGAAGAUUAGUGUGGCCUCUAAACAAGGAAGACAUGAAUUUGUGAAGCAUCCUUUUUUUUU